UGAAACCCAAAUCAUGUUUUAUGUUUAUGGUUGUAGUAAUGUUCUUCGUCAUGUAUAAGUUGACAAAAUUCCAACAGGCACAAGAAGAGAUUGAAUCAGUAUCUCAGACUUUUGAUUCCAUGAUGAGGAGGACACCAAAGAAGCUGUA